AUGGACCGGAACAAUCUCUUCACUCUCGCAUUCAUCUGCAUUAUCGUCACCAGCGUCGGAGGCCAGUUGCCUUCUGCAACCCCCGCCACUACUCCAGCUGCAACAACUCCAGUCUCAUCACCUGUAUCUGCCUCUCCUAAACCAGCUUCACCAGUCCCCGUUGUUUCUCUGAUUCACCAGCUCCAACCUCUUUUCUUCCUCUACUCUCCAAACGACAGCCGACUCUUUCCGCCGUUCAAUAGCCAACUCUCUCCGCCGUCCCAUGCCGCAGAACCCACUCUGAGUCACCAUCCUUCUUAG